rnacentral:rRNA from 1 species
UACGUAGGGACCGAGCGUUGUCCGAUUCAUUGGGCGUAAAGAGCUCGUAGGCGGCCACUCAAGUCGAAUGUGAAACCUCGAGGCUUAACUCUGGGCCUGCAGUCGAUACGGGCAGACUUGAGUUCGGUAGGGGAGACUGGAAUUCCUGGUGUAGCGGUGAAAUGCGCAGAUAUCAGGAGGAACACCGGUGGCGAAGGCGGGUCUCUGGGCCGAUACUGACGCUGGAGGAGCGAAAGCGUGGGGAGCGAACAGG